rnacentral:rRNA from 1 species
GCAAAUCCGCCGAACUUAAGCAUAUUAUUAAGCGGAAGAAAAGAAAAUAACAAUGAUUCUUUUAGUAACGGCGAGUGAACAAAGAAAAGCUCAACAUGGAAAAUCCGACAGAUAGCUACCCGCGAUUUGUCGGAAUUGUCAAGUUGAAAAACAUUCCAAGAGUUCUUUUUUAUAAUAUGACAAUGAGAAGAAGUAGAUAGAAAUGUCUCUCCAUAGAGGGUGAAAGACCCGUAUUCUUAAUCAUAAAACUGAUCAAUUGGAAUGUUUUGUUUUUGAGUCGUGUUCUUUGAGACUGGAACACUAAUUGGUGUGAUACAUUUCACAUAAAGCUAAAUAUUUGUAAGAAACCGAUAGUAAACAAGUACCGUGAGGGAAAGAUGAAAUAGUACUCAGGAAUGAGCAAUUAAAUAGUACCUGAAAUCGUUAAGAUGGAACGGAUUAAAAAAGGAAAAAAGUAACAACAUAGUUAAAAUGAGAGAUUUUGGUGCGCGCAAUAAAGAAUGGAGUCCUGAAAAGGAUGUAGAUAUUCAAGUAUCAAAACAAAAUUUUUCUUUUUCUAAAAAGAAAUUUUUUGAAGCUUUUGUUAUAAAAAUUCAUUUUUUUUCUUAUCCUUUUUUUAGGUAAGAUAAAAAUGAUACAAAAGUUGUCUUUCAUACUAUAUAUAUAAUAUAUGUUCUUAUUAAAAGAAACAUGAGUGAAUGAAAAUAAAUAAUCGUGAAGCAAAAAUAAACACAAUAACAAGAAAAAUAAAAUAAAAUAAAAUAAUUAAAAUAAAAAUAAAACAAAAACAAAACAACAAAUAUAAAUUAAAAGAAUUAAUUGAAUUUAAUUUCAUUUUAUUUUUUCCUUUUAUAUUUUGUUUUGUUUUGCUUUAUUUUUAUUUUAAUUAUUUUUUUUUUUUUUUUUUUUUUUACCUUAUUGACUAUUUUUCUAAGCUAAUGUGGGAAAAUAUAACUUGCUUCUUUUUUUUUUUUUUCUUUUCUGAAGGGAGAAAAAAAAGAAAAAUAUGAAAGAUACAUUUAUUUAAUUUACUGAGGAUUGUGAAAAUUAUAUUAAUUGUAUAUGAUGCGAAUAAUAUAAUUUAAGAUGUUUUUAUAAAGUACUUUUUUAACCCACUCGUCUUGAAACACGGACCAAGGAGUCUAACAAAUGUGCAAGUGUAUAUGAUAAGAAUAAACAUAGUAUAAAAAUUUCUACGCAUAAUUAAUGUAACAAAAAAUAUAUGUUUAUUAAUUGUAGAUUUGUGGGGUUUUAAAUUUUUUUUAUAAAUCCACACAAUGCAUACAAUACCGGUGAGCAAUUAUGCUUUAUUGAGUAAGAGCAUACUUGUUAGGACCCGAGAGGCUUUGAACUAAACGUGAUGAGAUUGAAGUCAGAGUAAAAUCUGAUGGAGGAUCGAGUUGAUACUGACGUGCAAAUCGUUCAUUUCAAUUGCGUUUAGGGGCGAAAGACUAAUCGAAAAGCCUAUUAGCUGGUUAUUUUCGAAAGAUCUCUUAGGAUCGCUGGAGUUGAUUAUAAUAUAGUUUUACCUGGUAGAAAUAAUGAUUAGAGGAUUCAGGGAGAUGACAAUUCCUUGACCUAUAUAUCGAAAGAUUCAAUAGGUAAAAAAAUGAGGAAAUAACUUUAUUGUAUUUCAUUCAUAUUUAAAAAUAAGAUAACUCCAAGUUGGCCAAUUUUGGUAAGCAGAACUGGCGAUGAGGGAUGCUCCUAACGCUUGGAUAAGGUGCCUAAAUAUCCGCUCAUUAGAUACCAUUAAAAAGGUGUUGGUUUGUGAUUACAGUAGGACGGUAUUCAUAGAAGUUGAAAUCCGCUAGGAAGUGUGUAACAACUUACCUACCUAAUAAACUCGCCCUGAAAAUGGAUGGCGCUAAAGCGGAUUACCGAUACCAAGCCAUAAAAAAGAAAAAAAUAAAAAAGAAAUAUUGAAUUUUUUUUUUUUUUUUUUUAGAUUCUUUUUAUGAGUAGAAAAUCGUGGGGUUUGUGUUGAAGCGAAAUACGUGAGUUUUCGUGGAACAUUUCCCUAGUGCAGAUCUUGGUGGAAGUAGCAAAUAUUCUUAUGAGAACUUUGAAGACUGAAGUGGAGAAGGGUUUUUUGUGAACUAUGUUUGAGCAAAAGUUAGCCGUUCCUAAGAGAUAGCUGAAAAGCGUUAUAAAUUGAGGUUGAUCUAUUAUAUGAAAAGUAUAGUAGUGUUUUUUCUCUUCUCGAAAGGGAAGCAGGUUGAUAUUCCUGCGCCAUAUGUAAUAAGAACUAAUAAAUAGAGAUGGUAACAUAUAUAUAUAUAUAUAAAUGAACUCCUUAACAUAGGCCUUACGCUUGGAGUGCGUUAUCUUUGCACUUUAACUUUAUAUCAAACCUUCGAAAUCGAUUUACUUGUAGAAAAGGUUCGAUGAAUUUUACAAUAAACAAUUUAUUUAUUUAUAUGCGUGUGUGGACCGGUACACAUGAUAUAUAUAUUAAUAAAUUGUUUUGUAGUAAUAGUAAUUCGUUUGUUGUACGAAUUAUCCAAAGUUGUAUGGACUAUCCUUGAAAAAAGGAGGGAACACUAAAUUAGAAUGGGAAUGUAUAAAAUACUAUAAAAGAAUGAAAGAAGAAAAAGAGAAGAAAGGAAAGAAAAAAAAAUAUUAACCUUCAGCUUUUUUUUCUAUUUUUUUUUUUCUUUUUCUUCUUUCAUACAUUUAAUAGUGUUUUACAUUAACCAUUUUUUUUUUUAUAUUCUUAAUUUACAAUUAUAAAAUGAACGUACCAAUAACCGCAUCAGGUCUCCAAGGUUAGCAGCCUCUGGUUAAAUAGAAAAACGUAGGUAAGGGAAGUAAGCAAAUUAGAUCCGUAACUUCGGGAAAAGGAUUGGCUCUGAUAACAUAAAAUGAGAAGAAAAAAAAAAAUGAAAAGAAUUGUUGUUGGAAAUAAAAAUGUUAAGAUGUUUUUUUUAUAUAUUUAUAUAUUUAUAUUAGUUUUUCUUAUAUUUUAAGAUUAAUUAAUUUUAAUUAUAUAUUUAAUAUGUUAAAAUGUUUUAGAUUUCUUCUUCUACUCUCUUUUCUUAUUCUAUUUUUUUCUCUUUCUCUUCGAUAUUACAUUUAUUUUGUUAUUAUAAUAAAAAUUAUGUAAUAUUGUGUAGCUGUGUUUAUUCAGAACUG